rnacentral:rRNA from 1 species
UACGUAGGGAGCAAGCGUUGUCCGGAUUUAUUGGGCGUAAAGAGCUCGUAGGCGGCUUAGCAAGUCAGGUGUGAAACCUCCAGCUUAACCUGGAGACGCCACUUGUACUGCUAUGGCUUGAGUUUGGGUAGGGGGAAGACGGAAUUCCAUGGGUGUAGCGGUUGAAAUGCGACAGAUAUCAGAGAGGAACACCGAUGGCGAAGGGACAGUCUUCUGGG